rnacentral:rRNA from 1 species
UGCAGUUAAAAAGCUCGUAGUUGAUAUUCGGGUAAAGAAGCUUCUUUAUUGAAGUUUUCUGAGCCUAGGUCUGUACUUGUACAGACCAGUUACUUUGAGAAAAUUAGAGCGCUUAAAGCAGUCAUUGAAUACGUUAGCAUGGAAUAACAGAAGGACGACAUUUCUUUUGUGGGAAUAUCGUAAUUGAUUAACAGGGACAGUCGGGGGCAUCAGUAUUCAGGAGCUAGAGGUGAAAUUCUUGGAUUUCCUGAAGACUAACUAAUGCGAAAGCAUUUGCCAAGGAUGUCUUCAUUAAUCAAGAACGAAAGUUAGGGGAUCGAAGACGAUCAGAUACCGUCGUAGUCUUAACAGUAAACUAUGCCGAUAGAGUGGAGGAUGGACUAUCAAAUCUAUUCUCCGCUCAAGCGAAAGCAGUUGGUUCUGGGGGGAGUAUGGUCGCAAGGCUGAAACUUAAAGGAAUUGACGGAAGGGCACCACCAGGAGUGGAGCCUGCGGCUUAAUUUGACUCAACACGGGGAAACUCACCAGGUCCAGACACAAUGAGGAUUGACAGAUUGAGAGCUCUUUCAUGAUUUUGUGGGUGGUGGUGCAUGGCCGUUCUUAGUUGGUGGAGUGAUUUGUCUGCU